rnacentral:ncRNA from 1 species
AAAAGUUUGGUCCUGGCUUUACUAUCACUUAUAACUAAAUUUAUACAUGCAAGUCUCCGCAGUCCCGUGAGGAUGCCCUAAUACUAUCCCGCCCAGGUAGAAUAGGGGCUGGUAUCAGGCUCACCCAUAUACGCACAUAACUUCUUAUGAGCGUUCACGCCCAUGACACCUUGCUUGGCCACACCCCCAAGGGAACUCAGCAGUAAUAAGUCUUGAGCCAUUAGUGCAAACUUGACUCAGUUAUAGUUAAGAGGGUCGGUUAACCUCGUGCCAGCCGCCGCGGUUAUACGAGGGACCCAAGGUGAUAGAUGUCGGCGUAAAGCGUGGUUAGAACAUUUCAAUUAAAAUUAAAGCCGAAACCCUUCACAGCAGUUACAAGUUAUCGAAGCUAGAAAGCCCAAUCACGAAAGUAGCUUUAUAAUAUUUUGACCCCACGAAAACUGGGACCCAAACUGGGAUUAGAGACCCCAUUAUGCCCAGCCUUCAACAAAAACGGUGCGUUACAUCCAUCCGUUCGCCUGGUUACUACGAGCUCAACAGUAUCGAAGCUUAAAACCCAAAGGACUUGGCGGUGCUUCAAACCCCCCUAGAGGAGCCUGUUCUCUAACCGAUGAUCCACGUUAAACCUCACCCUUUCUUGCAUUUUCAGCCUAUAUACCGCCGUCACCAGCUUACCCCCUGAGGGAAAUCGAAUGUGAGCUCAAUCGGCACCCAAUGCCCAGUAAGUCAGGUCGAGGUGUAGCGUAUGAAAGGGUAUGCGAUGGGCUACAUUCUCUACUUUAGAGAAUUACGGAAGGUUAUUCCCUGAAAUAGGAACCUGAAGGUGGAUUUAGCAGUAAGAGUCGGAGAAGAGCGCCCCUCUGAAGUAGGCAAUGAAGCGUGCACACACCGCCCGUCACUCUCUCCUAGCACCUUCGCCAUAAACUUCUAUAAACAACUAGAUACGCACAGGAGAGGCAAGUCGUAACAUGGUAAGCGUACUAGAAAGUGCGCUUGGCUAAAC